AUUGAACGCUGGCGGCAUGCCUUACACAUGCAAGUCGAACGGCAGCACGGGUGCUUGCACCUGGUGGCGAGUGGCGCACGGGUGAGUAAUACAUCGGAACAUGUCCUGUAGUGGGGGAUAGCCCGGCGAAAGCCGGAGUAAUACCGCAUACGAUCUACGGAUGAAAGCGGGGGACCUUCGGGCCGCGCGCUUUAGGGUUGGCCGAUGGCUGAUUAGCUAGUUGGUGGGGUAAAGGCCUACCAAGGCGACGAUCAGUAGCUGGUCUGAGAGGACGACCAGCCACACUGGGACUGAGACACGGCCCAGACUCCUACGGGAGGCAGCAGUGGGGAAUUUUGGACAAUGGGCGAAAGCCUGAUCCAGCAAUGCCGCGUGUGUGAAGAAGGCCUUCGGGUUGUAAAGCACUUUUGUCCGGAAAGAAAUCCUUGGCCCUAAUACGGUCGGGGGAUGACGGUACCGGAAGAAUAAGCACCGGCUAACUACGUG
rnacentral:rRNA from 1 species